GGUCCAAUGGUGUAAUGGUUAGCACUCUGGAUUGUAAAUACAGCGAUCCGUGUUCUAACCUCGGUGAGAACU
rfam:Nematostella vectensis strain CH2 x CH6 NEMVEscaffold_322_Cont23766, whole genome shotgun sequence.